AUGGGCUCGCGGCCUAUCAGCUUGUUGGUGAGGUAAUGGCUCACCAAGGCGUCGACGGGUAGCCGGCCUGAGAGGGUGACCGGCCACACUGGGACUGAGACACGGCCCAGACUCCUACGGGAGGCAGCAGUGGGGAAUAUUGCACAAUGGGCGAAAGCCUGAUGCAGCAACGCCGCGUGAGGGAUGACGGCCUUCGGGUUGUAAACCUCUUUUAGCAGGGAAGAAGCGAAAGUGACGGUACCUGCAGAAAAAGCACCGGCUAACUACGUGCCAGCAGCCGCGGUAAUACGUAGGGUGCAAGCGUUAUCCGGAAUUAUUGGGCGUAAAGAGCUCGUAGGCGGUCUGUCGCGUCUGCUGUGAAAUCCCGAGGCUCAACCUCGGGCUUGCAGUGGGUACGGGCAGACUAGAGUGCGGUAGGGGAGAUUGGAAUUCCUGGUGUAGCGGUGGAAUGCGCAGAUAUCAGGAGGAACACCGAUGGCGAAGGCAGAUCUCUGGGCCGUAACUGACGCUGAGGAGCGAAAGGGUGGGGAGCAAACAGGCUUAGAUACCCUGGUAGUCCACCCCGUAAACGUUGGGAACUAGUUGUGGGGUCCUUUCCACGGAUUCCGUGACGCAGCUAACGCAUUAAGUUCCCCGCCUGGGGAGUACGGCCGCAAGGCUAAAACUCAAAGGAAUUGACGGGGACCCGCACAAGCGGCGGAGCAUGCGGAUUAAUUCGAUGCAACGCGAAGAACCUUACCAAGGCUUGACAUACACGAGAACGGGCCAGAAAUGGUCAACUCUUUGGACACUCGUGAACAGGUGGUGCAUGGUUGUCGUCAGCUCGUGUCGUGAGAUGUUGGGUUAAGUCCCGCAACGAGCGCAACCCUCGUUCUAUGUUGCCAGCACGUAAUGGUGGGAACUCAUGGGAUACUGCCGGGGUCAACUCGGAGGAAGGUGGGGAUGACGUCAAAUCAUCAUGCCCCUUAUGUCUUGGGCUUCACGCAUGCUACAAUGGCCGGUACAAUGGGCUGCAAUACCGUGAGGUGGAGCGAAUCCCAAAAAGCCGGUCCCAGUUCGGAUUGAGGUCUGCAACUCGACCUCAUGAAGUCGGAGUCGCUAGUAAUCGCAGAUCAGCAACGCUGCGGUGAAUACGUUCCCGGGUCUUGUACACACCGCCCGUCAAGUCAUGAAAGUCGGUAACACCUGAAGCCGGUGGCCUAACC
rnacentral:rRNA from 1 species